GAUGAACGCUGGCGGCGUGCUUAACACAUGCAAGUCGAACGAAGCACUUUAACGGAUUUUUUCGGAAUGAAGUUCUUGUGACUGAGUGGCGGCGGGUGAGUAACGCGUGGGUAACCUGCCUUGUACAGGGGGAUAACAGUUAGAAAUGACUGCUAAUACCGCAUAACCCGCUAAGGUCGCAUGACCUAGACGGAAAAGAUUUAUCGGUACAAGAUGGACCCGCGUCUGACUAGCUAGUUGGUGAGGUAACGGCUCACCAAGGCGACGAUCAGUAGCCGGCCUGAGAGGGUGACCGGCCACAUUGGGACUGAGACACGGCCCAAACUCCUACGGGAGGCAGCAGUGGGGAAUAUUGCACAAUGGGGGAAACCCUGAUGCAGCAACGCCGCGUGAGUGAAGAAGUAUUUCGGUAUGUAAAGCUCUAUCAGCAGGGAAGAAAAUGACGGUACCUGACUAAGAAGCCCCGGCUAACUACGUG
rnacentral:rRNA from 1 species